rnacentral:rRNA from 1 species
GGGGAAUAUUGGUCAAUGGACGCAAGUCUGAACCAGCCAUGCCGCGUGCAGGAAGACGGCUCUAUGAGUUGUAAACUGCUCUUGUACGAGGGUAAACUCACCUACGCGUAGGUGACUGAAAGUAUCGUACGAAUAAGGAUCGGCUAACUCCGUGCCAGCAGCCGCGGUAAUACGGAGGAUUCAAGCGUUAUCCGGAUUUAUUGGGUUUAAAGGGUGCGUAGGCGGUUUGAUAAGUUAGAGGUGAAAUCCCGGGGCUUAACUCCGGAACUGCCUCUAAUACUGUUAGACUAGAGAGUAGUUGCGGUAGGCGGAAUGUAUGGUGUAGCGGUGAAAUGCUUAGAGAUCAUACAGAACACCGAUUGCGAAGGCAGCUUACCAAACUAUAUCUGACGUUGAGGCACGAAAGCGUGGGGAGCAAACA